GCACUGGUAGUUCAGUGGUAGAGUUCUUGCCUUCCAUGUGGGAGACCCUGGUUUGGUUCCCAGCCAAUGCA
rnacentral:tRNA from 1 species